rnacentral:rRNA from 1 species
ACCUGGUUGAUCCUGCCAGUGAUUAUAUGCUCGUCUCAAGGAUUAAGCCAUGCAUGUGUAAGUUCACAUCUAUAUAUGAUGAAACAGCGAAGCGCUCAUUAAAUCAGUUAUUGUCUGUUCGAUGGUAUAAACCGUGGAUAACUAUGGUAACCUAUAGCUAAUACAUGUACGAACCAACGGUAGCAAUAUCGUUGGGGCAUUUAUUAGUUUAAAACCAAUCAAAACGGCAACGUUUUGAAGUUGAACCUGAAUAACUUUGCAAACCAAAAUGUGUAUACAUUUGGUAAUUCGAUUGAAUUUCUGCCCUAUCAACUUGUUGUUGGGGUAGUGGCCUAACAAGGUUUUGACGGGUAACGGGGAAUCRGGGUUCGAUUCCGGAGAGGGAGCCUGAGAAACGGCUACCACAUCCAAGGAAGGCAGCAGGCGCGCAAAUUACCCAAUCCGGUCAUCGGGAGGUAGCGACGAGAAAUACCAAACUUAAAAAAUUUUAGGUAUUGGAAUGGAGUCAAUAUAGUAACUUGACUGAGCAACUACUGGAGGGCAAGUCUGGUGCCAGCAGCCGCGGUAAUUCCAGCUCCAGUAGUGUAUAUCAAAAUUGUUGCGGUUAAAACGCUCGUAGUUGGAUGACAAAAAUUUGUAACACUUGAUAUGUUAGAUCAUAUUUUGUGAAGCAGAUUUUUUUAUUGCAAAUUCCUAUGGUUGCUUAAUUGCCAAUUGUAGGUCAUUUGUAAAGCGUGCCUUGAAUAAAKCAGAGUGCUCAAAUCAAGCGUAACGCUAGAAUGUAAUAGCAUGGAACGAACAGCCAGAUUUCUGGUUCAGUUGGUUGGUGACACCGGCAAUCGGUAAUUGAAUGAAUUUACGUUGUCAAUGGUUAGGUAGCUGGAAUUAAAAACUUCUCUACUUGACCAUUAGAUAACCUCUGAGCUUUCAAGAACCGGUUGUUUGGAUCUGAACCGGGYCAUGAUUAAAAGGGGCAUUUGAGGGCGUUAGUAUUUAAUGGCGAGAGGUGAAAUUCAGUGACCCAUUAAGGACUAGCUAAUGCGAAGGCGUUCGCCAAGAAUGUUUUCAUUAAUCAAGAACGAAAGUUGGAGGCUCGAAGACGAUCAGAUACCGUCGUAGUUCCAACAGUAAACUAUGCCAUCACGGGAUCAGCUCGUGAAUUACAUACUAGUUGGUCUCCCAGGGAAACCUUAAGCUUUCGGGUUCCGGGGAGAGUACGGUCGCAAGUCUGAAAUUUAAAGGAAUUGACGGAAGGACACCACCAGGAGUGGAGCCUGCGGCUUAAUUUGACUCAACACGGGGCAACUCACCAGGUCCGGACAUUAAAAGGAAUGACAGACUGAUAGAUCUUUCAUGAUACAAUGAUUGGUGGUGCAUGGCCGUUCUUAGUUGGUGGAGCGAUCUGUCAGGUCUAUUCCGGUAACGAGCGAGACCACGAUCUCUAAUUUAUCGCUUUGUCCAUUUCAACUUUUCUCCGUGCACUGUGUUUCAGUGCAAUCAAGCCAAGGGUAGCGCGGGGAGAAAUCCUCUUGUUAUGUGAGGUUUGGUUGUGUUGGGAUGCAAAUGUAUGGAGUUAAAGUCGGGCAGAGAUAAUAGAGAGACUACCGUGCGAUUUUAAAAGCCGGGGGAGGCGUGGCAAUAACAGGUCUGUGAUGCCCUUCGAUGUUYUGGGCUGCACGCGCGCUACAAUGGCAGUGACACAAAGUUACUGYUCCGAGAGGAGUGGUAAAACCAAAAUCGCUGUCGUAAAUGGGACUGAGCCUUGUAAUAAUUGCUCACGAAAGAGGAAUUCCUCGUAAGCGUGAGUCAUCAACUUGCGUUGAAUACGUYUCUGUCCUUUGUACACACCGCCCGUCGCUACUACUAAUUGAAUUGUGUUUCGAAAAGUAGGGAUUUGUUAGACUUCGGUCUCGAUAAAGAACCACUUUUAGAAACACAUUCGAAAAGAAGUAAAAGUCGUAACAAGGUUUCCGUAGGUGAACCUGCGAAG